GUUGAAUAUUGGCAAACCCGUCGAAAGGCGGGGACGCAAAGCCAUGGGUCUACAGCCGACAAGGCCAUGAUCGCCAGGUUGCCGGU
rnacentral:ncRNA from 1 species